GGCCCAUUAGCUCAGUUGGUUAGAGCGUUGUGCUAAUAACGCGAAUUCGAUCCCCCCAUGGGCCA
rnacentral:tRNA from 1 species